UAGAUAAGAACAUUCAGGGAAACAUGGUAUGCAAUAAAUCCCAGUUCCACUAACCCUCUGUAAGGUCUUUAACACAUUUAAAAAGUAAGGGUUCUUCCACUAGUUGGAAGGUCAAAAGUUUGAGAGGUCCACAAUCCUCCAACUAGUUAUUAACCUAGAACUUAACACUUUUUCCAUCUCCAAUAUGCCAAUGAAUCUCAUUCCUAAGCUCGUCCUAAAGGCUGUUAAGAUUUUUCUAAAGAUGAGACCAAUCCUUUGACUUCAUCGUGUGACUAAAGCAUCAUCCUAGUUGUACUUAUGCCUCAAGAUUUGUACCCAAAGAAGAUGAGACUUAGUGAUGAUAGUAAAGCGCACCUUU
rnacentral:lncRNA from 1 species